AUUGGCGUAUAUUAAAGUUGUUGCGGUUAAAAAGCUCGUAGUUGGAUCUGUGUAUCGGACGGUCGGUUCGCCGCUCGCGGCGUUUAACUGACCGUUUCCGGACGUCCUGCCGGUGGUCGUUGGUCCGCAAGGGCCUUCGGCCGUCACCUCCCUCCGGGCUUCUCUUAACCGGGUGGCCCGGUGGGCCGGCACGUUUACUUUGAACAAAUUUGAGUGCUCAAAGCAGGCCUAUAGACGCCUGAAAACUGUGUGCAUGGAAUAAUGGAAUAGGACCUCUUUUCUAUUUUGUUGGCUUUUCUGAAACAGAGGUAAUGAUUAAUAGGGACAGACGGGGGCAUUCGUAUUGCGACGUUAGAGGUGAAAUUCUUGGAUCGUCGCAAGACGGACGGAUGCGAAAGCGUUUGCCAAGAAUGUUUUCGCUAAUCAAGAACGAAAGUUAGAGGUUCGAAGGCGAUCAGAUACCGCCCUAGUUCUAACCAUAAACGAUGCCAGCCAGCGAUGCGCCGAAGUUCCUCCGAUGACUCGGCGCGCAGCUUCCGGGAAACCAAAGCUUUUGGGUUCC
rnacentral:rRNA from 1 species